rnacentral:rRNA from 1 species
AAACCAACAGGGAUUGCCCCAGUAACGGCGAGUGAAGCGGCAACAGCUCAAAUUUGAAAUCUGGCCUCGGCCCGAGUUGUAAUUUGCAGAGGAUGCUUCUGGCGCGGCGCCUUCCGAGUUCCCUGGAACGGGACGCCACAGAGGGUGAGAGCCCCGUAUGGUCGGACGCCAAGCCAGUGUGAAGCUCCUUCGAAGAGUCGAGUAGUUUGGGAAUGCUGCUCUAAGCGGGAGGUAUACGUCUUCUAAAGCUAAAUACCGGCCAGAGACCGAUAGCGCACAAGUAGAGUGAUCGAAAGAUGAAAAGCACCUUGAAAAGGGGGUUAAACAGUACGUGAAAUUGUUGAAAGGGAAGCGCCUGUGACCAGACUUGCGCCGGGCGGAUCAUCCAGCGUUCUCGCUGGUGCGCUCCGCCCGGCUCAGGCCAGCAUCGGUUCUGGCGGGGGGAUAAAGGCGGCGGGAACGUGGCUCCCCCGGGAGUGUUAUAGCCCGCCGUGCAAUGCCCCCGCCGGGACCGAGGUUCGCGCAUCUGCAAGGAUGCUGGCGUAAUGGUCACCAGCGAC